rnacentral:rRNA from 1 species
UACGUAGGGUGCAAGCGUUAAUCGGAAUUACUGGGCGUAAAGCGUGCGCAAGCGGUUUUGUAAGUCUGACGUGAAAUCCCCGGGCUCAACCUGGGAAUUGCGUUGGAGACUGCAAGGCUAGAAUCUGGCAGAGGGGGGUAGAAUUCCACGUGUAGCAGUGAAAUGCGUAGAGAUGUGGAGGAACACCGAUGGCGAAGGCAGCCCCCUGGGUCGAAGAUUGAC